rnacentral:rRNA from 1 species
AUUGAACGCUGGAGGUAUGCUUAACACAUGCAAGUCGAACGCGAACGUUACUUCGGUAACAAGUAGAGUGGCGGACGGGUGAGUAACGCGUAGGAAUCUACCUAGAUGUGGGGGAUAACAUGGAGAAAUUCAUGCUAAUACCGCAUAUGUCUUACGAGAUAAAGAGGGCCUCUUCUUGAAAGCUCUUGCAUUUAGAUGAGCCUGCGUCGGAUUAGCUUGUUGGUGGGGUAAUGGCCCACCAAGGCAACGAUCCGUAGCUGGUCUGAGAGGAUGAUCAGCCACACUGGGACUGAGACACGGCCCAGACUCCUACGGGAGGCAGCAGUGGGGAAUAUUGGACAAUGGGCGCAAGCCUGAUCCAGCAAUACCUCGUGUGUGAAGAAGGCCUUAGGGUUGUAAAGCACUUUCAAUUGGGACGAAAAGUUUAAGCUUAAUACGCUUAGACCUUGACGGUACCUUUAGAAGAAGCACCGGCUAACUCCG